rnacentral:misc_RNA from 1 species
CCAAAGAUGGCGGGCCUCCGUGCCCCCGUCCCCAACCCAUUGUUGACCAAAACCCUUUUGCCUCGGGGGCAGAGCGUCCGCCGCCGCCCCCGGAGGACCAUCAAACGCUGUCUCUUUGCGUCGGAGUAAUUGAUUAAAUGAAUGA